GAGGCCUCUCUCUGCCUGAGAGAUAGUUCUUUCCGCACAAACCUAACUAGACCUCCAGUGACACCAGCUUGGGUCAAGCCACUACCUUUGCUCCAGGUCGGAGCCUUGUGAUUGCCACCCACCUCUCACUGCCAUGUGAAUGGGCCGCUCAAAGGUGGCAGGUCCCUGACAUAUGUGGCCAUGGUGCUCCAUGGUGCAGUUGUAGGAGGACCUGUGACCCUGCCACCUGCCUCCCACUCCUCCCUUUAUGUACCUGAUCUGCCUGUGCCAGCCUAGAAUGCCACUCGCCCCCAUGCCUAGCAUGGCUCCCGGCACAGACAGGACACCUGCAGAUGAGUGCUGAAUGAAGAGACCUCCGAGGAUGCUUGGUGACAUGGGGCUUUGGAGCCUGGUCUGGCACUUGGUCCUUCCUGUACCUGUCAACAGCUGCAGAGGAUGAGUUUCUAUGGAUGCUGCCC
ensembl:lncRNA